GCUUACGGCCACACCGCCUGGUUCACGCCCGAUCUCCGGAAGCUAAGAUAGGUUGGGCCUGGUUAGUACUUGGAUGGGAGACCGCCUGGGAAUACCAGGUGCUGUAAGCU
rnacentral:rRNA from 1 species